GUCAGUGUUAGCUGGGAGGGUCUCAUCUUAAUUACCAUGCGGACUGCUUACUGUCUUAUUCUUCAUGCUCAUUAACUGCUUUUCGCCAAUCCCAGGGGGUAAAAGUGAUUUAUAUUUCUCUUUAUGCGUAGUAAGUUGUUUUUUGUUUUUAAGGAAGCUGAACAGUUACAAAGUGUAUAAUGCUCUAAUAUUACUAGGACUAGAAAAGGAACUGUUAUCUUGACAGUUUGGGAUACUCUACUGAAAUUCUUGGCUAGCCAGGCUUUGAAUUUUUGUCUGGAAGGUAAUAUUUAAGGUUGUAAUAUUCCAUAAAGGAGAGAGGAAUUCUUUUGCAUUCCUAAUUGCGGUAUAAAGGACGUAACGGGAAAAAUACCGAGGAAAUGGCGUUACCGUUUUACUUGUGACUGAGACGUUGCUAGAGUAUACUGAGUUGGAGUCCAUUUCACUUGUUUGAAAAAUGUCAUGGAUUCGAUAAAGUUUCUUAAUUUAACGAAAAUAGAAUAUUUUUCAGUUUUGUCUUUUAACAGUUAAUAAUGAAAAGUAACAAGCUCACCCUUCUCCUUCUCCCUGAAGGUGUGGAUGAAAGAAAACGACUUUGAAGAGAAUAGAGUUUAUUCUGUAGUAAAAUGUAAAUGAUCAUGACCCAAGGACAGGAUUCAAACUGCCCCCAAACCAUAUUCAACAUAAAAGUGUUACAGUCUUAUGAGUUUUAUAUGGUAACAAAAGAGAUAAGACACUUCAGUUUAUGGAAUGUCUCUGGCUAUUGGCCUUAGAUUUCAUCUGAUGACAUUCUCAGUCUUUGGGAUUGGUGGAAGUUAGUGUUCUGUUUAUACAUUCCAGAAGGACAGUCACAAGGAUAGAUGCUAAGCUAUACAUAGAAGUGGGCAAUGAAUGGCUAUUAAGGAGGCCAAGGAUAGCCUAAGAUAAUUUAGCUCCAGGCUUGCAGCAUUCCAGGUCUCUCCUGUCACAGUAGAAUCAGCCUUGUAGAAUUUUUAACUAAGGAUUGGGGUGAGUGGUUGUGUGGUUUCCCCCUCAUAGGAACUAUAGUUAACAAAGGAGUUAACUGUUGUGUUCUUCCAAUCUGUUUUCCUUCUCUUAAUUAAAAUUAUUAUGCAAAUA
rnacentral:lncRNA from 1 species